GACGAACGCUGGCGGCGUGCUUAACACAUGCAAGUGGAGCGACGAACCGGGGCUUGCCCCGGGGCAGAGCCGCGAACGGGUGAGUAACACGUGGGUAACCCACCCCGAUGACCGGGACAACCCGAGGAAACUCGGGCUAAUACCGGAUGUGCUCCUUGACCAUGAGGUCAAGGCGUAAAGAUAGCUUCGGCCUUCGCAUCGGGACGGGCCCGCGGCCCAUUAGCUUGUUGGUGGGGUAAAGGCCUACCAAGGCGACGAUGGGUAGCUGGUCUGAGAGGACGAUCAGCCACACUGGGACUGAGACACGGCCCAGACUCCUACGGGAGGCAGCAGUGGGGAAUCUUGCGCAAUGCGCGAAAGCGUGACGCAGCAACGCCGCGUGGGGGAAGAAGGCCUUCGGGUUGUAAACCCCUUUCAGUUGGGACGAAGCUUCGCCGGUGAAUAGCCGGCUGGAGUGACGGUACCUUCACAAGAAGCCCCGGCUAACUACGUGCCAGCCGCCGCAGUAACAC
rnacentral:rRNA from 1 species